UGCCAGCCGCCGCGGUAACACGUAAGGGGCAAGCGUUGUUCGGAAUUAUUGGGCGUAAAGGGCGCGUAGGCGGCGACACAAGCCUGGUGUGAAAUACUCUGGCUCAACCAGAGAGACGCGCUGGGAACUGUGUUGCUUGAGUCUUGGAGAGAAAACAGGAAUUCCUGGUGGAGGGGUGAAAUCUGUAGAUAUCAGGAAGAACACCAGUGGCGAAGGCGAGCUUCUGGCCAAAGACUGACGCUGAGGCACGAAAGCUAAGGUAGCGAACAGGAUUAGAUA
rnacentral:rRNA from 1 species